rnacentral:rRNA from 1 species
CCUACGGGGGGCAGCAGUGAGGAAUAUUCCGCAAUGGGCGAAAGCCUGACGGAGCGACGCCGCGUGGAUGAAGAAGGCCGUGAGGUUGUAAAGUCCUUUUGCUGGGGAAGAAUAAGCCUGGGAGGGAAUGCCCGGGUGAUGACAUGAACCGGCGAAUAAGCCCCGGCUAACUACGUGCCAGCAGCCGCGGUAACACGUAGGGGGCAAGCGUUGUUCGGAAUUACUGGGCGUAAAGGGCAUGUAGGCGGUUCUGUAAGCCUGGCGUGAAAGGUCGCGGCUCAACUGCGACACUGCGCUGGGAACUGCGGGACUUGAGUCACGGAGGGGGAGCUAGAAUUCCGGGUGUAGGGGUGAAAUCUGUAGAUAUCCGGAAGAAUACCAGUGGCGAAGGCGAGCUCCUGGCCGAUGACUGACGCUGAGGUGCGAAAGCGUGGGGAGCAAACAGGCUUAGAUACCCUUGUAGUC